UUGGAGGGCAAGUCUGGUGCCAGCAGCCGCGGUAAUUCCAGCUCCAAUAGCGUAUAUUAAAGUUGUUGCAGUUAAAAAGCUCGUAGUUGAAUUUCGGGGUUCUACCGUUGGUCGGGCAAUAGUCUGUACUGGCGUGUGGAAUUUCUACCUUCUGGGGAACCAUCAUGUUAUUAAUUUAGCGUGGUGGGAAACCAGGACCUUUACCUUGAAAAAAUUAGAGUGUUCAAAGCAGGCUUACGUCUGAAUACAUUAGCAUGGAAUAAUAAAAUAGGACGGUGGUCCUGUUUUGUUGGUUUCUGAAUCACCGUAAUGAUUAAUAGGGAUAGUUGGGGGCAUUAGUAUUCAAUUGUCAGAGGUGAAAUUCUUGGAUUUAUUGAAGACUAACUUCUGCGAAAGCAUUUGCCAAGGAUGUUUUCAUUAAUCAAGAACGAAAGUUAGGGGAUCGAAGACGAUCAGAUACCGUCGUAAUCUUAACCAUAAACUAUGCCGACUAGGGAUCGGACGAUGUUAAUUUUUCUUGACUCGUUCGGCGCCUUACGGGAAAC
rnacentral:rRNA from 1 species